rnacentral:pre_miRNA from 1 species
ACCUGGGUUGGUUUUUCUCUUUGGUUAUCUAGCUGUAUGAGUGUAUGUGAUAUCAUAAAGCUAGAGAACCGAAUGUAAAAACCCGCUCGCUG